rnacentral:rRNA from 1 species
UACGGGGGGGGGCAAGCGUUGUUCGGAAUUACUGGGCGUAAAGGGCUCGUAGGUGGUCAACUAAGUCGGACGUGAAAUCCCUCGGCUUAACCGGGGAACGGCGUCCGAUACUGGAUGGCUUGAGUUUGGGAGAGGGAUGCGGAAUUCCAGGUGUAGCGGUGAAAUGCGUAGAUAUCAGGAGGAACACCGGUGGCGAAGGCGGGAUCCUGGGCCAGUACUGACGCUGAGGAGCGAAAGCGUGGGGAGCAAACAGG